rnacentral:rRNA from 1 species
AGAGUUUGAUCAUGGCUCAGGAUAAACGCUGGCGGCGUGCCUAACACAUGCAAGUCGAACGCCCUGCGCAAGCAGGGAGUGGCGGACGGGUGAGAAACACGUGGGUCAUCUGCCUUUCGGUGAGGAAUACCGGCGAGAAAUCGCCGACAAUACCGCAUACGCUCGGUCACGAGCAAAGUCGCAAGACGCCGGAAGAAGAGCCUGCGCCCGAUUAGUUCGUUGGUGGGGUAAUGGCCUACCAAGACGACGAUCGGUAGCUGGUCUGAGAGGACGAUCAGCCACACUGGGAUUGAGAACGGCCCAGACUCCUACGGGGGGCAGCAGUGAGGAAUCUUCGUCAAUGGGGGAAACCCUGAACGAGCAACGCCGCGUGCCGGAAGAAGGUCUUCGGAUCGUAAACGGCUUUUCUGGGGGAAGAGAAUGGACGGUACCUCAGGAAGAAGCCCCGGCUAACUACGUGCCAGCAGCCGCGGUAAUACGUAGGGGGCAAGCGUUGUCCGGAGUUACUGGGCGUAAAGGGCGUGCAGGCGGUUCGGCGCGUUUGGAGUGACAGUGCUCGGCUCACCUGAGCAAGGUCUCCAAAGACGGUCGGACUUGAGGACUCGAGAGGGACAUAGAAUUCCGGGUGGAGUGGUGAAAUGCGUAGAUAUCCGGAGGAAUACCAAAGGCGAAGGCAGUGUCCUGGAGAGUACCUGACGCUGAGGCGCGAAAGCCAGGGGAGCGAACAGGAUUAGAUACCCCUGUAGUCC